AUUUUGGAGGACUAGUGGUUAGGCCACAGCUCUCUCACCUCUGGAGCCUGGGUUUGAUUCCCAGCCAGGGAA